rnacentral:rRNA from 1 species
UGCCAAACUCUAGCCCAAUCGACAUGACCUGGAAUAACAAAGCUACUACAUACACCCAACUAAAGCAUUCACUAGUCCUAGUAUAGGCGAUAGAAAAGACACCAUUGGAGCGAUAGAGACCACGUACCGUAAGGGAAAGAUGAAAUAACAAUGAAAACUAAGCUAUAAACAGCAAAGAUCAACCCUUGUACCUUUUGCAUCAUGGUCUAGCAAGAAAAACCAAGCAAAAUGAAUUUAAGUUUGCCAUCCCGAAACCCAAGCGAGCUACCUACGAGCAGCUGUCAGAGCGAACCCGUCUCUGUGGCAAAAGAGUGGGAUGACUUGUCGGUAGAGGUGAAAAGCCAAUCGAGCUGGGUGAUAGCUGGUUGCCUGUGAAACGAAUCUAAGUUCACUCUUAAUUCUUCUCCAAGGAAACUCAAGAACCCUAAUGAAGCGAAUUAAGGGCUAUUUAAAGGAGGUACAGCUCCUUUAAAAAAGAAUACAAUCUCUACGAGCGGAUAAAUAAUAACAUACGAACUUACUGUGGGCCCUUAAGCAGCCAUCAACAAAGAGUGCGUUAAAGCUCCGUACCCAAAAAAUAUAAGAAUUUUAUGACUCCCUCCCCACUAACAGGCUAACCUAUAUACAAAUAGGAGAAUUAAUGCUAGAAUGAGUAACCAGGGUCCUCCCUCUACGACGCAAGCUUACAUCUAUACAUUAUUAACAAACCACCAAUAUACGAUAAAUCAAACAAGCAGAGUAUUAAGUAUCUUGUUAACCCGACAGAGGAGCGUCCAUUAAGAAAGAUUAAAACCUGUAAAAGGAACUAGGCAAACCCGUCAAGGCCCGACUGUUUACCAAAAACAUAGCCUUCAGCAAACCAACAAACAAGUAUUGAAGGUGAUGCCUGCCCGGUGACUCACGUUUAACGGCCGCGGUAUCCUAACCGUGCAAAGGUAGCGCAAUCAAUUGUCCCAUAAAUCGAGACUUGUAUGAAUGGCUAAACGAGGUCUUAACUGUCUCUUACAGGCAAUCGGUGAAAUUGAUCUCCCUGUACAAAAGCAGGGAUAAACCCAUAAGACGAGAAGACCCUGUGGAACUUCAAAACCAACGACCACCUUAUAUCACAUAUACACCCACUGGGCUCACUGACACAUAAGAGAUUGGUACGUGUUUUUCGGUUGGGGCGACCUUGGAGUAAAACAAAGCCUCCAAAAAUUAGACCAUAAAUCUAGACUAAGAGCAACCCCUCAACGUGCUAACAGCACCCAGACCCAAUAUAAUUGAUCAAUGGACCAAGCUACCCCAGGGAUAACAGCGCAAUCUCCUCCGAGAGUCCGUAUCGACGGGGAGGUUUACGACCUCGAUGUUGGAUCAGGACAUCCUAGUGGUGCAGCCGCUACUAAGGGUUCGUUUGUUCAACGAUUAACAGUCCUACGUGAUCUGAGUUCAGACCGGAGUAAUCCAGGUCGGUUUCCAUCUAUGAUGAACUCUUCCCAGUACGAAAGGAUAGGAAAAGUGAGGCCAAUACUACAAGCAAGCCUUCGCCUUAAGUAAUGAAGUCAACUAAAUUACGAAAAGCUAUCACACCCCCCCACAUCCAAGAAAAGGACCA